rnacentral:RNase_P_RNA from 2 species
CCAGUUGGCUGGGCAGCCGCGCUUUACCAAUGCCGAAAGGCGGUAGGGUGAGGAAAGUCCGGGCUCCACGGAAACACGGUGCCGGAUAACGUCCGGCGAGGGCGACCUCAGGGAAAGUGCCACAGAAAGCAAACCGCCUGUCAUGACAGGUAAGGGUGAAAGGGUGGGGUAAGAGCCCACCGCAUCUCCGGCAACGGAAAUGGCACGGUAAACCCCACCGGGAGCAAGACCGAAUAGGGAUGAUGCGGCAGGCCGAAAGGCCUUCCGGCCGGUUUCCAGGCCAGUCAUCCGGGUGGGUUGCGAGAGGCAGCGUGCGAACGCUGUCCCAGAGGAAUGGCUGCCACGUUCCGGUUCACGCCGGAGCCAUACAGAACCCGGCUUACAGGCCAACUGGCGAU